AUGCUCUGGUUUCUCUUCAUAAGGAAUAAAUUUUUUGCCUUUUACUAAAGAUUUUCGUGGAGAGGAACAAUUAUGAGCCUAUAACCAAAUUUUUUGAUGUCCUGCUUAGGUAGGGCU
ensembl:snRNA U5 U5 spliceosomal RNA